GUUGAUAAAACAUAUUUAAAACGUUACAGAAAUACAUAUAACUUUAAAAAACUAUUCGUACUUCAACUUAAUUUGAUUUAUUUAAUUGAUAUAACACUUUAAAAAAAAAUGUUUAACAAGACUCAACUGCAGUAUAUUGAAUUAUGAUAAUCAUUUUGUAAGUUAAGGACAAUGAUUUCAUGCUUCUAAAUUACCGAAAGUCAUCUUACGCACAUCAGUUUUAAAACAUCUUUGAUACAAAAAAGAGUAAAGGUCUAUUUUUAACUUAACAAUAUUUUAAACAAUGGAAUUCAUUUCAUUUGCUUGUGGGCAUGCAUGCUCUGCUCUGGGAAUUAAAUUCCCCCUUUCAAUGUGUUUACGGAGAGUUAUAAUGGAAUGACACAGCGGGAUACUAUGGCCAAGACUCAUACAGCCGAUCCUAUAGUUAUGCAAUUUUCUCGCGAUUUGAUAUGCUGUGUAAGUCAAAGUUUUGGAAAACCCAAGCCAUUCUUGUUACACAGAGUCUGCGAGCUGGUGAACAGUCGGUUAAAAUAAAUGCCAUGGCCUCUCUGCAGGGUGGAAGGAGAGAUUAGCAAAGCUGUGAUGAGAUCUGUAAUGACUAACAACUGCAUGAGCCAGUUUAGUGGCACUGGACAGAAAGGGAAAAUAGCCUUUAUUGGAACACCCCUGUACAAAAUCAUUCUUUCUGCUGCACACAAAGCAUCAAAGAAAACUGUUUCGUUUGCGACAAUCAAACGAGAAGUUUUAGACGUCCUCAGAUUCGCCCCAUACCUUCCUUAAUUGAGGAACUAAAUUAUGCUAAGAAAAAAGGGGGAAAGAAGUCGAUACAAAUAGAUGAAUUUCCAUCAGAUUCGGAAUAAUUAAUAUUAUAUGGACUAAUUUUUCCAAAAAUACAAAUUUUAUUUGCAAA